AACGAACGCUGGCGGCAUGCCUAACACAUGCAAGUCGAACGAAGCCUUCGGGCCUAGUGGCGCACGGGUGCGUAACGCGUGGGAAUCUGCCCUUGGGUUCAGAAUAACAGUUAGAAAUGACUGCUAAUACCGGAUGAUGUCUUCGGACCAAAGAUUUAUCGCCCAAGGAUGAGCCCGCGUAGGAUUAGGUAGUUGGUGGGGUAAUGGCCCACCAAGCCGACGAUCCUUAGCUGGUCUGAGAGGAUGAUCAGCCACACUGGGACUGGGACACGGCCCAGACUCCUACGGGGGGCAGCAGUGGGGAAUAUUGGACAAUGGCGAAAGCCCGAUCCAGCAAUGCCGCGUGAGUGAUGAAGGCCUUAGGGUUGUAAAGCUCUUUUACCAGGGAUGAUAAUGACAGUACCUGGAGAAUAAGCUCCGGCUAACUCCGUGCCAGCCGCCGCCGUAA
rnacentral:rRNA from 1 species